AUGCCCAUCACAGCUACCAAGUGCAUGAGCAAGAUCAAGUGUUGUAUCUGUUUUUAUCAGUUUACUAUCUGAUACGCCCCCUCUCUGGGGGCCAUUUAUUAAAUGGAUUUUUAGAACAGGAAGAUGAAAAUAGAGCUUGCUCUGUCUACUCCAUGCUUUGAACUGGUGUUGCAGUACUUCCAAGAGAGGUACACAAU